UCUCUUCUCUUCCUUCUCCUUGUGUGGUGCUGCUCGAUACCUCCAAUAAAGAUCUCUUGACGGCGACCAGUGUAGUUUGGUCUCCGCCCGGCCCCUUUCAGAGAGAGCACUUAGGAAAACUGUGCGGAGAUCAGCUGCUGAUAUGUAAAUACUGCUGAAGCUGCUUAUUCAAGAUUAGAAAACCUGAGACCAAGACGGGGGAAACUGCUUUCCACGGUUAAUCGUGAACAACUGGCCAGGAUGGGACAGAAGCCCGUACAUAGCCUUCAUUCCAGGGCUCAGAACAAAAAGAAGGCAGUGGCCUGGGCUGCACCUGAGCUUGGCUUCACAUAGGAGGGAUUCUGGAAUGCAGGAUCCUGACAACGACCUCAAGCCCCUGUAAAGCAACACAUUUUUUGGCAAGAAUGCCUGGGACAGAGAAAGAAGUUCUUCUCCCUUAUUAUUGAGAAUGUUCUCAUAUCUUACAAGCUCAUGGACCCUGGGUUACAAAUAGCUGCUGUACCUGUAGGCAUUAAGGUCGUGUUUCUGAAAAGAAGACAGAAAAAAAGAAGGAAAAGGAAGGGAAGGCAAAAAAUUCAUGGAAAUCGAAUCUGUUCCUCUUCAUCCUCAGAGACACUGGAAUGUUUCCAAAGAGGCAUAUCAUUGGUUUCCACUUACAGUGGCUAUGUUCUACAGCCUCUCCUGACUACAAGGGAGAUGGAGAAAUUGCAUAGUAUUGUCACCACCUUGCAAAACGUCAGCACUUUGGAAUAAGGAAGAAUGUAGAACGAUGUUUCGUGGGUGAUAAAGGCAUCUUCCGGGAAGGAACAAGUUGCAACUGGACACAGCAGGCAUCUUCUUUGGAGGUGCUUCUAAGACAUUUACACCAGGUUCCACUCUCCUAGGAGGCAGUUAAGAAGGAGUUUGCAGGAUAACACAAGUGACUUGCUGUGUUUGGUGUGGAAAAGCAGCUCAGAGGAACUUCCCCUAGGUCAUCACCUUUGGGACCUGCCAACAUGUUUAGUGGAUGCUAUCUCGGUUGGGUGACCCUCAUAUCCUUUGCCUCUUUUUUCUGGUAUCACUCUGCAUUGUAUGGGGUGAUGCCCAAUUCCAGAUUGAAUUUCCCAGGUAAUCCAGAGAUUAUCAGGGAGGAGAUAGGGAAAAGCCAGGACCUUCAUCUUCCACCCUCUCUGCCUUAUGGGACAUCUUUGUCAAAAUGCUCCCAGCAUCUCCUACCUGGCUCCAGCUCCCUGAAAGAGGCUCACUUCCAUUCCAACUUCUGAAGGCCGGCCCUGCUCCUGGCUCUAGUAACAUUGCAUCUUCCCUCUGUUUCUCCAGCUGAGAGGUGGCAGUGGCUUCCUCUGAUUGCUGGCAGAGUUGAUUGGAUCUUCCUUCACAAGUUUCCAAGGCUUAAUACACUUUUCAAAAUCCAUCAGAGUGAAUGUCUUUCUUUAACCCUCAUUGGAGAGGUGUUUCAACCAUAAAUUGCCCAUAGGAGCAAUGUGAUACUGCUUGAUUCCACAACCAUUUUUGUGAUUUGGGAGCAUGGUUUUGCUUGACGUGUACAUUCUUAACAUGAUGAAUAGAAUUGCAGAGGUGACAGAAUAGAGAGAAAUUGUAUAGCUACUUGAAAGCCUGCCCAUGCAUUUAUUUCCCCAGACAGACUAGCUUCAUGCCUCCUGACUGAUGCAUCUAUUACAAAUGGGAGGCAGGAUGAAGGAUACAGAGGGUGGAAAAAAGAGAGCAGUGAAAUGUUGAUUCAAAAAGACAAAAAACAUAAAAUAAAAGGAUUUUGCAUUCUAAAAAUCCA